GGGCUGGGGCUCAGUGGUAGAGCACUAGCCCAGCACGUGUGAGGCCCUGGGUUGGAUCCUCAGCACCACA
rnacentral:tRNA from 1 species